GUGCUCGCUACAGCAGCACUUACACUAGAAUUGGAACGAUACAGAGAAGAUCAGCAAGGCCCCUGCGCAAGGAUGACAUGCAAAUUCAUAAAGCAGUCCACAUUUAA